rnacentral:rRNA from 1 species
AGAUUGAACGCUGGCGGCAGGCCUAACACAUGCAAGUCGAGCGGUAGAGAGGUGCUUGCAUCUCUUGAGAGCGGCGGACGGGUGAGUAAUGCCUAGGAAUCUGCCUAGUGGUGGGGGAUAACGUUCGGAAACGGACGCUAAUACCGCAUACGUCCUACGGGAGAAAGCGGGGGACCUUCGGGCCUCGCGCCAUUAGAUGAGCCUAGGUCGGAUUAGCUAGUUGGUGAGGUAAUGGCUCACCAAGGCGACGAUCCGUAACUGGUCUGAGAGGAUGAUCAGUCACACUGGAACUGAGACACGGUCCAGACUCCUACGGGAGCAGCAGUGGGAAUAUU